rnacentral:rRNA from 1 species
GAUGAACGCUGGCGGCGUGCCUAAUACAUGCAAGUCGAGCGAACAGAUAAGGAGCUUGCUCCUUUGACGUUAGCGGCGGACGGGUGAGUAACACGUGGGUAACCUACCUAUAAGACUGGAAUAACUCCGGGAAACCGGGGCUAAUGCCGGAUAACAUUUAGAACCGCAUGGUUCUAAAGUGAAAGAUGGUUUUGCUAUCACUUAUAGAUGGACCCGCGCCGUAUUAGCUAGUUGGUAAGGUAACGGCUUACCAAGGCAACGAUACGUAGCCGACCUGAGAGGGUGAUCGGCCACACUGGAACGGAGACACGGUCCAGACUCCUACGGGAGGCAGCAGUAGGGAAUCUUCCGCAAUGGGCGAAAGCCUGACGGAGCAACGCCGCGUGAGUGAUGAAGGUCUUCGGAUCGUAAAACUCUGUUAUUAGGGAAGAACAAAUGUGUAAGUAACUGUGCACGUCUUGACGGUACCUAAUCAGAAAGCCACGGCUAACUACGUG